rnacentral:rRNA from 1 species
UACGUAGGUGGCAAGCGUUGUCCGGAUUUACUGGGCGUAAAGAGCGCGCAGGCGGUCGUUCAAGUCGCGUGUGAAAGCCCCCGGCUCAACUGGGGAGGGUCACGCGAUACUGUUCGACUCGAAGGCAGGAGAGGGAAGUGGAAUUCCCGGUGUAGUGGUGAAAUGCGUAGAUAUCGGGAGGAACACCAGUGGCGAAGGCGACUACCUGGCCUGUUCUUGACGCUGAGGCGCGAAAGCUAGGGGAGCAAACGGG